rnacentral:tRNA from 1 species
GCCGAAGUGGCGGAACUGGCAGACGCGCACGGUUCAGGGCCGUGUGGGCGCAAGCUCGUGUGGGUUCGACUCCCACCUUCGGCACCA